GAUGAAGAACGUAGCGAAAUGCGAUAAGUAAUGUGAAUUGCAGAUUUCAGUGAAUCAUCGAAUCUUUGAACGCACAUUGCGCCCCCUGGUAUUCCGGGGGGCAUGCCUGUCCGAGCGUCAUUACAACCCUCAAGCUCAGCUUGGUGUUGGGCCCCGCCGCCCCGGCGGGCCCUAAAGUCAGUGGCGGUGCCGUCCGGCUCCGAGCGUAGUAAUUCUUCUCGCUCUGGAGGUCCGGUCGUGUGCUCGCCAGCAACCCCCAAUUUUUUUCAGGUUGACCUCGGAUCAGGUAGGGAUACCCGCUGAACUUAAGCAUAUCAAUAAGCGGAGGA
rnacentral:misc_RNA from 1 species